rnacentral:rRNA from 1 species
GACGAACGCUGGCGGCGUGCUUAACACAUGCAAGUCGAACGAAGUGGCGAACGGGUGAGUAACGCGUAAUCAACCUGCCCCUCAGAGGGGGAUAACAGUUGGCAACGACUGCUCAUACCGCAUACUGAAGGAGGGGAUUGCGUCUGACUAGGUAGUUGGAGGGGUAACGGCCCACCAAGGCGAUGACAAGUGGGCGGUGUGAGAGGAUGGACGGGCACGUUGGGAAUGUGACACGGCCCAGACUCCUACGGCAGGCAGCGGUGGGGAGUCUGCCGCAAUGGAAGAAAGUCUGACGGAGCAACGCCGCGUGAGUGAUGACGGCCUUCGGGUUGUAAAGCUCUGUUAAUCGGGACGCGGUACCGGAAUAGAAAGCCACGGCUAACUACGUGCCAGCGGCCGCGGUAAUUC